rnacentral:rRNA from 1 species
UACGUAGGGUGCAAGCGUUAUCCGGAAUUAUUGGGCGUAAAGAGCUCGUAGGCGGUUUGUCGCGUCUGCUGUGAAAACUGGAGGCUCAACCUCCAGCCUGCAGUGGGUACGGGCAAACUAGAGUGCGGUAGGGGAGACUGGAAUUCCUGGUGUAGCGGUGGAAUGCGCAGAUAUCAGGAGGAACACCGAUGGCGAAGGCAGAUCUCUGGGCCGUAACUGACGCUGAGGAGCGAAAGCAUGGGGAGCGAACAGG